AUACGUAGGUGACAAGCGUUAUCCGGAUUUACUGGGCGUAAAGGGCGUGUAGGCGGUCUUGCAAGUCAGAAGUGAAAUUCCUGAGCUCAACUCGGGCGCUGCUUCUGAAACUGCAGGACUUGAGUGCUGGAGGGGAUAGCGGAAUUCCUAGUGGAGCGGUAAAAUGCGCAGAUAUUAGGAAGAACACCGGUGGCGAAGGCGGCUAUCUGGACAGUAACUGACGCUGAGGCGCGAAAGCGUGGGGAGCAAACAGGAUUAGAUACCCAGGUAGUCCACGCCGUAAACGAUGAAUACUAGGUGUAGGGGGUAUCGACUCCCUCUGUGCCGCAGUUAACACAAUAAGUAUUCCGCCUGGGGAGUACGGCCGCAAGAUUAAAACUCAAAGGAAUUGACGGGG
rnacentral:rRNA from 1 species